AACUAACAGCCUAAUUAUAAAUAACGAAACAAUUUACAAAAUAUCAAAUAUGAGUCGAGACAUGAACCAACGACAACCACUAAACUACAGGCUCCUAACCUGGGAAGGUAAACAAAGAAUAUGACAGGGUUGAUAUAGAAACGAAGAUGUGGUAUGAUUGCAAAUGAGACAACUCUCCACAAGAGACCAAAUAACACAGAAAUCAACAGCUAUAAGUCACCGUACGGCCUUCGACAAUAAUGUAAGCCUACAUCGCAUAGUCAGCUAUAAAAGGCCCCGAAAUCACAAAUGUAAAACAAUUCAAUCGAGAAAACUAACGGCCUAAUUAAUGUACAAAAAAAUGAACGAACAC
rnacentral:lncRNA from 1 species